rnacentral:rRNA from 1 species
UACGGAGGGUGCGAGCGUUGUCCGGAAUUAUUGGGCGUAAAGAGCUCGUAGGCGGUUCGUCGCGUCGGCUGUGAAAACCCGGAGCUCAACUCCGGGCCUGCAGUCGAUACGGGCGGACUAGAGUUCGGCAGGGGAGACUGGAAUUCCUGGUGUAGCGGUGAAAUGCGCAGAUAUCAGGAGGAACACCGGUGGCGAAGGCGGGUCUCUGGGCCGAUACUGACGCUGAGGAGCGAAAGCGUGGGGAGCGAACAGG